CUAAUGAGUGAAUUGUUUACCUGAGUACUGGGAGUGUCUCAGUAGGUGAUAAUCAUCCCUGAAGAGAGGGGUGUGGGAGCCUUUGGUUUGUAGCCAAUCAAUCAGAAACACGGGUAAUGACCUGUACUGGCAUCUGGGGUUUCAAGCUGGGAGUGUGAGGCCAUCUAUGGAAUUGAUCCCUGUGGGAUCUGAUGCCAUCUCCAGGUAGACAGUGUCAGUAUGGAGUUAAGUUGUCGGACACCCAGUUGUGUCUGCAGAGAACUGGGGAGUUGUUUGUGUGGAAAAGCCCACAUUUCUGGUGUCAGAAGUAGAGUAUCAAGAGUGAUAAGGAAAUGUGUAACUGUAGAAAGAAAAAGGGCCUUUCCCUGUUCAUUUACGACAGGGAGGAAGUGGAAGGUGGCAGGACAGGGGGAAGCCCCUUCCCGGGCCUUCCCUGAAGGCUGCUGUGCCUCCUGUACUCACGGUAGAAACCCGGAGAGAGAUGAGUUUCCACAGACCCUUCCGGUCCUGGUUUCCUCACCUGUGAGAGUGACUGCCUUCUGGGGUUCGUUAGGGUUUAGAACCAGAUGUCCCCAGAGCAUCAGACACUCACAGAUGGGGCUUUUGGGCCACGGUUGGAUCACGAGCACCUAGCUGACUUGUUGUCAGGAGAUGGGUCGGUCCCUGGAAGGUCCGCCUCCCUCCCCAGCUCCUCCUUUGACCCACUGCUUCCUGGCCGCCAUGCUACGAGCAGUGCUCCUCCGCCAGGCCCCUCUGUCAGGCCGCCCUGCCUUCGAGCCAGCAGCUGGGAACGGAAACCGCUACAGACGACAUCAGUUUGGAGCUGAGGGGCCCAGUGACCAUUCCAUCUACUAUAAGGAGUCUGGGAACACAGCUGGCACAAAGGUGAGCAGAAGAGAGCAAGAGGGAGAGAGACCCUGAGCCUCCUGAAUCCUCAUACCUUUAAUAUCUUCAGUUACACGAGCUAAUACAUUUCCCCCUGCACUUAUUCACCUUGACUCGAGUGUCUGUCACUUGCAACCCUAAGAAUCCUGGACACUUUGGUCAUGAUUUCUUGAAGGCCAACUCUGUGGGGUGGUAGUGAUUUUGAUGGCCAUGGUGGACAUUAAUAGCAUGUGGGAGGGAAUGCAGGAAGAGGGAAUAAAGACAGCAGUGCAGGCAGAAGUGAUAAGUAAGUGUCUUUUCUGUUACUCCUCUACUCAAUAAAGCUGGUUCUCUAAGUUGGGCUCAAGGGUGGUAGAAGCCUGGCAAAUUGGAAGAAGGUGAAACUUUGAGCUAGGAGAAGUGGUCCUUUAGGAAGAGCGAACUCUCAGGAAGGCUUGAAGCCUUACGAGAGGAAGGGGCUGGAACUGGAGGGACACAGUUGAAUCUUGGUCUGGUCCCAAGGAUCAGGAAGGAAGGCUUAUACAAUCUAUUGUGUGCUGUUGCUAUGGUGAUUAGAGGAACUAAUGGAAACACCAUGCUGAUGAACAGGGAAGGACAGAGGGUGGGUUAUAAGGGAAACCACAGAAACUUCUGGGUUAGGAUUCACUUAAAGAAAGAGUAGAGGUGCAGAGGUUUGACUCAGGCAUGGGAGAGCUGUAAGAGGGCAGAUGUGUAGUGUGUACGUAGCACGUGUUCUCUGGUCCUUGGGAAACAAGCACUAGCGAUAAAGAGGAGGGAGUUGUGUCUGACAGUGGUGGGAGACCAUGGCUGAUGGUGAUAGGGCAGGGGUCUCGAGGUGGCUUUAGGGGCAUCAGAGAGAAUGGGGCAGAAGUGAAGAGUGCGGAGGAUCUGUUCUUGAGCGGACUUGCGAUCCCCUGGUAACUCCAGGAAGGCAGAAGGACGGUGGGGGGGACAGAGCCCUAGAGCCCUGUGUAGCAGGAUUGGGAUGAGAAACACUGAAGGAGCUUCUCCUCAGCCUCCUCUGAUUCGCUCUUGGCUCUUCCUUCACUGUGUCCCAGCCUCUCUUUAACAUGUUCACAGUGGAGCUGUCAUUUGUAUUCUCACCACCAGGCAGCUUGAGCCUGCGGGCACCUGCAUGACUGUCCCAUGCGUGAUUGUCCCACUUCUACACUUGUGGUACGAGUCGCUGAUGGUGGGACAAUCUUGCCGAUACCAUGGGGGUUCGAGCUGGCGAGAACGUGUGGCCCCUUUCCUCCAGCUGGCUCUCCCAUGAGCCGCCUCCGUGAACACACCAAGGUCUGCAGAGCGCUGAGUCAGAUGCCUUGGCAGGCCCAGGUUGGAAAAUUAGAUAUUUAUCGCCAACUGGGAAAACAAUUCUUCUGCAAUCCCCUCAGGCACUGGGUGAUUAUGUAGAUGCUGGCUCACAAGACACAGAUGACACUUCGGUCUUGGGGAUCUUUGAUUCCCGAAACCACUCUCUCUGAUGGGGAGGGAGUGCAUGCCUCACUCGGAGCAGCUGGAGAACCGGCUCUCUGAAAUGGCCAGAACUCGGCAAUUCCAGGGCAGGCUCAGGCUCAAGCUCAUGCUGAAAGGCUGGUGUGGAGGACCUGAGGCUCCUGCUGGUUCUGUGGGUGGAUCUGUGGGGUUUUCAUAUGGUUCCCGCAUGGCUUCACAGGCCACUUCUUCACCGGACAGAGACUGCACCUGGAACUGUCCUCAAAUACUUGCGUGUUAGUGGGUGAUAAUGACUGUGUGGCCCACAGUCAACCUUCAGACUGGUGAUGUAGAUGUGACAUUAUCAUCUGUUUCUGUGACCUGGCAAGAGCGUGGGAGGUGACAUUCCUGGGAGUCAUCUGAAGAAUUAAGGGGGUCUCAUCUCUGCCCCAAAUGCUAGGGGCUGGGCUGGAAAGAUGACCACUCAGCUGGAUGUCUGGGUCUGUGGAUCUUACACCAAUCAGUUAUGAGCUUUGGAGAUGGAGAAUCCUUUCUCUUGUGUCUCGGAUGUGGUACAGAGAGAGGCUGAGACCCUAAGCCACUCCUGUUCCUUGCUGGAGUGUGUUUAACACCUUGGCAAAGACAGCCGUUUACACUGUGCCCGGCAUGGAGCCAGCCUCCAGUAAAUAUCAGACCAUGUUUUUUCACAUUACACGUUUUGUGGGCUCAGGCCCCAGCGGGAGAAACUGGAGCACUGGAUUUGGAAGCCUCGAUGUGAAUGUGGACUUGGGCACUCUGAACAGGUCCCUGAGCCAUCUUGGACUGUGGACGCUCGCUCUGUGUAGGGCUGUAGUGCCAGUGCCAAGGGAGGAUGCUUCCCCGAAGGCAAGCGCUUCGUUUAGGGAAGAAACGGGAGGGGGCUGUGCCGUACUGAGCAUGAGGAGCCCCAGUAUCCUGUCUAACGUCGUGCAGCUUUUCUGACACCAACUCUCAAACUGGUGAGCAGAGGGUUUUAAGCGCGCAGACGCAGAUGCAGAUGCAGAGCCUUGAUUCUGUCCUCUGAGAAGUCCAGCAAGGCCCCUCUGCCGAUCGAUUUGCUUCCACUGGGGAUGGUGGGGAGGAAGAUGGGAUGCCACCUACUUUCUGUGGGCUGGGCUGGGCCUCAUUAGUUGGGGAUAUUUGUGUACAGGGCUGUCCUGUGUCUUCUCGGGUCAGGAAUCAUUUUCUUUCCUUGGUUUUAGAGGUGUUGCUGGAGAAAGAAGAGGAGGCUGGUGAGAAAGGAGAGUGGAUGGGGUUGGGAGGGCUGAAGGAUGCAGGAGACACCCAGACUAAAACGCAUUUGGCGGUCAGCAGGACUUCGGAUAGAGGAAUGAUAAGGGAGAUUGUUUACUGAAUCGAGCCCCUUCGGCGUUCCUUUAAGAAUAUGCUCCUUGUUAUAAUCCAAUUUUAUUUUUUAAAGUCCAUUUUACCAUUUUUCUAUCCCAUAGAAGCAAAUCCCUCCUCGAUGGUAUGUAAUUUUGGGGAAUUUGGAACACAAGCACAUCUCUCAAAGGUUGUGUCUCAAUGUUUUAUGCUGGUCUGGUGCCACCCACUCCUGGAGCUUGUGGUGAGAUGGAAACAAGGUUUUAUUGUGGGCUGGGAGGCCCGCAGUCUUUCCUAAGUUUGCUUUUAUUUUGCUCUACAUCCUUGGGCAGCUACUUUCCUUCUCUGGUCCUCAGUUUCCCCCUUUUUAAAUCUAAAAGCAUGACAAAGCGGAUGUGGUUCAAAUUUAUAAAAGAAUUAUUUCUAUGGAAUACAAAUGGAUUCUUUCGUGGAGGUGAACAUGCUUUUGUGGAAUCCAGUGCAUAGACGGUAAAAGCUGCCCGGGUCUGUGUCAGCGUCCCCGGGGUGACCCUAACAACUCCAUGUUUCUAUGGAUCUCAACUUGGAAACUGCAGAAGAGGAUCUUCAGCCUUGUGCUGAGCGUUGUCAUUGCACAGACAAGUGUCGCAUAGUAGAUACGAAGCCCUGGUGGAGGAGAUCUGGACAGGUUCGGGACUGGGCUGGGGCCUUCCUGGAGCUAAGUGGAGGCAGGAGUGGAAACUGUCUUAGGGAGGAUGGCCAGGCGGCUUCCUGUGACACACUAGAGGAAGCUGCCCAGGGACCUCGUGGAGGAGAUUAGAGCCUCGCGCUCUGGCCGGCAUCAGGCUGGAGGUGACCGGAAAUGGCAGGCAGGCUGGGAUCGGGGUAUGGCUGCCUUUACCUCGCCAGGGACAUUUCAGAGAAACGCCUCGGGGAGUCCUACUUACUGCUUCUCCUCUGAAUGCAUAGAUGUACGUGCUUGUGCCUUUUGGAACAAAUCAAACCACCUUUGGGGUGAGUGGAGAAUAUUUCUAUGUCCCUUUCUGCCAGGACAAAUGUCACCUGGCUUUGGGAGUCCAGUCUACUGAGGGCCCUCCGGACAGUGGCCGCUCCUACACUGGUGGCCUCACCUUUACCUUGGCCAAUUUCAGCCCAGUAACUGGAGAUUAUGUUACGUGGCAUGGUGGAAGAGACUUUGCAGAUGGGAUUAGGUUAAGGGCCUUGAGAUAAUGAGGAGGGAUUAUACCGAAUGCUCUGAUAUAUCCUAGGUGGCUGGAUGCACUCCCUGGGCCUCUAAAGGAAAGAAGCAGGGAGGAGGUGCGUGGCGGUAGAAGCAGAGACUGGAGUGAUGCAUUUUUGGUGCAUUGAGGAAACAAACACAGGAGGUCACCAAUCAGGUGACUCAGCCACGGACCCACAUGCUGAAGCAGAAGCCUGGGUCCAUUCUAAGGAGGUGGCCAAGGCCACAGUGGAGGAGCACAGGUGACCACCAGAAGCUGGAGAAGCCAAGGAAACGAAUUUGUCUCCUUUCCUUCCUUUCCCUCUCAAGGAGAGAGACUGUGCCUGCAGACAUCUGCCUCUGGUCAGCCCUGUUCCCGAGAAGCCUGGGGAGGAGAGGCAUUCAUGGCGCUCAGUACUUUCCGAAGCAAACUGGGAUUCUGCUGGUGGGGAGAGAGGUGAAGAAUGGUGCGAAUGCACUUGCAUCUGCCGAAGCGCUCAGAGACGUUUGCCAGAGGCCUCGAGGGACACUGGAGGCGGGGAAACUGGAUCAGGGCACAGAGCUGAACCUGGGUCCCUGUGCGGUCUGACUCGGGCAGCUUGGUGGUGGAGCAGGACGUGGAACACGGGGUGGUUUGGGGUCUUCUGGGUCCAGGAGCCUGUGGUCCAGUCGCUCCUCCUGCAGCUUCUCCGGCUGCUCUGCUGGGAAGCAGUGAUGUGCCAGACCCCCCGGGGCAGAUCUGCUCUUUCCCCUCCUCACCCCUUUCUCUCUGGGCCAACGUUCCCAGGGUCAAACCUGCAGCCUCCAGCCUGGGGCCUCUGCUCCUGGAUCUGUGGCAAAGGCCUUGCUGUACAUGGUCAGUUUGUUCUUCGUAGGGCAGAAGGAAAAGCUUCCGUGUGUGGUGCUCUGUGUUCCAAGCCACAGCCCGGGCUUCUCUGCUUCAGAUGCUGGGUCCCUCUGCAUGGGUGACCACGUGGGGACCCGAGGGCCGGGGAGUCGUGGGGUCCACGUUAGGAAGGGCCUGGGUUUCCACAUCUCCAUGCAGAACGGUGACAUGGGUGACAGCAGUAACCUCCCUGUGUCCCUCUUGGGGAGCUGGGCUGUCUGCUCCAGCAUGUGCCAUCCUUGACACUGAACCAGCACAGUCUGCUUGCCUUCCUCCCACAGGAAGUCCUGUGUCGAGGUUUACAGAAGCCUUCGGAAUAAGGCUAAGUUCACAACUUCCGCUAAUUGGCUGUGUGACUUGGGGUACGUUACUUCGCUUCUCUGUACCCUGAAAACAUAAUAAUGUCAGAUAAUGAACCAAACCAACUGCAUUCUGCAUACUGUUGUGGGGGUCGAAGGGAAGACCUAUGUACUGCGCUUGGGUAGUUGUGUCUGGUCCAUAGUAAACAUGGUGUAAGAAUGGCCUGUUACUGUUCCCAUCCACCUCACCCUUCAGCCACUCCAGUACCCCAGCAUGGGGCCAGCCAGAGCCAAGGUGUUGAUUUGAUUCCUCUUGGCUCUUUCUCCUCUUGGCAUUUUCUCAGGGACGAUGGUGACUGCACCCACACCAGCAUUUUGCAAUAGAGCACUGUAGUCUGCUUGUACUUCUACAGAGCUUUGUUUCACUUUCUGCUGUUUCUCUAUUUGGAGUGGAAGCCUUUUGAAAGCAGAGACCGACAGAUAACUAUUGAUUCCUAACUAAGCAGUGUCGGGUUGAGAGUGAGGAGCGAUGAGACUUGUACUGUAGGAGGUAGAAAUGUUUGGACCCCAAGAUGGCACCAUGCCUGCCCAUCUCCAGACCACAGGGGACCUGAGCAAGAGCAGUAAAGAACACAAGGCCUGGGAUUUAGCUCAGUGGUUUCGUCACCUGCUGCGCAAGCUCCAGGACCCGAGUUCGAUCCCAGGUACCAAAAAAAUAAAAGAACACAAAACACAGCCACGGCCCCGCAUCCUAGCAUGGAACAGCAUCUGACUGACUGUUCGGAAGUUUUGGUUGCUGCCAUGUGCGUAUCUUAGAUGCUGAUGUGAUUAUCCUAGCUAGUAUUUAUGAAGCACUAUGCUGCAAUUUCUUCUUCAAUGCUCACACCACUUGUGGGUGCCAUUAUUUUUCUCACUUUGCAGCAUCGAAGAGGCUGAGUGACAUACUUCAUGUCACACAAUUAAGAAGCCUACGAUCCGACUUCACGCAGGGAUCUGGGGACAGGGGCACAGGGGAGUCCUCGACAGGUGUUUGUGCAGAGGCAAAUGGCGGGGAGGCUUUGAAGAAAACUGCACAAGAUUUGCAGAGACCUUUGAGGGUCUGGUGUGGCCUCCAGAUGGCAUCUGCCAUCACAGGGCCUGGGGCACAAUCUCUGCAAGGCUCAGAAAGAACAUCUGCACUUCAAUAACAAAAUCCUUGGAAAAAAUCAUGUUGCAAAAGGAAAUCUUGACAUGGUUCCACCGUGGCGUGGUCGGGGGAGACAGGGGAGCCUGAAGUCCUCCGGUAAACUGCUUAGAGUCUGCAGGGCUGCUUCCCUUCCUUCUUGAUGUGUGUGAAAGACAGAGCAAGUAAUCCCUUUUCUCAAACUUCUGCUCACCCCGAGAACUUGACUCUGAGAGAAGAGGAAGAAUUGGGUGAGGUGCAGUCGGACUGCACACUCAGGAUGAGGGUCUCUGCUUAGCACCCGGUGGGCUCUGUGGUCCAUGUGGAACAGUCUUGUGCAAGGGAUUGUGCUGUGGUGUUCAGUUCCCUACACAUGUGAUCAAACAUUCCUUCAACAUCCAUCAGAGUCAAGAGCCGAAAUGGUCUCACUUCAGUUGGAUAUAAAAAUCUCUAUGUAAUGGAAUACUACUCAGCUAUAAGGAAGGAUAAACUUGAGACUUUCUUAGGAAAAUCGAUAUCCCUUGAAAAUACAAUGUUGAGUGAAAUAAAUCAGACACACAAGCUUAAAUACCAUACGAUAGCUCUCAUGUGAGUAAGGCAAAGCACAAAUAAACAGCAAAAUAAAAGAUGAGUAGAAGAAAACAAGAGGAUCAAAUGGGAAAGGGUCCAGGAGACCAACAGCAAAGGGAGAGGAGAGAAGCAGGGGAAGAAAGAUUUAAGAUAUGUGUGUACAGGUACCAAAUACCCACCAUGAACAUUACAAACAUUAUGUGUCAUAAACAUGAGCUGAGAAUAACAGUAACAAAAAUGAAAACAGGAAGAAGAGAUUUAGACUUUAAACUACAAAUCAAGGGAAGGAGGAGGUGGGGAAGGGAAGAGGUUAAAAAAAGAAACAAGUUUGUGAUGCAUAUGUACCCACUCCCUAAGUUGAAUGCAAACCUCACACUGCAAAGAGGUACUAAUAAAGUAAAAAUUAAAAUAAAAGCUCUGUUUAUCUCAGGUUUGACCAAGAAUUAAGUAUCUGUGCUGGAAAAUAAAGGAGAGAGGAAGGGAGGGAAAAAACAUAGAAUCACCUAUAAAAGAUAAGUUUUACUUUAUAUUUCAUAAAUAACAUUUUAAAUGCACACACACAGGCCUAUAAGAAAUCAAGAAACCAACACACUUCUAUUAUUUUUGAUACUGUAAGUGUAUAGUUUAGCCUGAUUAUGUCAGUGAGAAACUUAUUUUCUAAAGUCUUGUAUAACUCGCUAUAGGGUACAUUUUAAUUUUUCUUGCUUUGGUUGAUGAUUUCAACAUCAACAUUUCAAGUAUUCAACAGCAUCAGUACAUUUUUAUGCUUUAAGUAGCACCCAAAAGUAUAAUUUACAACUUUUAUUUAAAUUAAAUAUAGCAAGCCUACCUUUAGAAAAAUUAAAUUUCAUUUUGUCUUGAGGCCGAUGCUUAACAGAAAUGUAUUGUGAUUUCCUUAUGAGUUUUAAAAAUCAAUGGAAAGGAAAAAUUAAUGCCAACAUGUAAGUGUAAUUCAAUAAAGUAUGACUAGAAAUAGGAUUUUUAGUUUUAAAUGAGGAAAAUUAAAUCCCUACUCUUGUAUAUGUCAUAUAGCACACACUAUUAAUAUCUUGUGUAGUAGAAAUUUAAGAAUUUUAGUAUUGCUUAAAUAAAUUAAAAAUUUAAAUGGAAAGUUAAAAAAGAGGAGAGAUUAAAAUUUCUAAAUAACUAUACUCCUGACCUGCAUUAGAAUUGAUAUUCUUUAUGGAAAGGGAGGAAUCUCAGGAGAGGAUUAAUAGUGUUAGGGUUUGUGUCCAGAUGUCCCCCCAGAGUCUCAUGUGGUCAUAGGUGGGGCUUUUUCAGAGGUGGCUGGAUCUAGAGUGUGUGAUGCUGGAACUGAUUCAUGGUGCAAUGGUAGCAUCAAGGGCACUAGGAAUAAGGGUGUGAGUGUUACCUGCCCUAAAUAGCCUGGAUAAAAUAUAAGGGAUAGAAAGAGCUGUAGUUGUCCUUGUUGCUUUGGUGCCUUCUGCCUACCAUGAACUGUUUCUCUUCUGCAAUGCCCCUCUGCCAUACCGCCCUGCCUUGGAGCCAGCUGGUUAUGGACUGAAACCUCUAAACACUGUGAGCUAAAUAAACCUUUCCCCCUUUAACUUUGGGUGUUGGAUAUUUUGUCUCAGCAAUGAGAGAAAAAUAACUAAGACAAAUAGGUAGGUCAAACAGAAAAUGGAAUAGAAUCAACAGCAACAAAACAGAGUCACAGAAAAUAUUCUACCUCCAAAUAGCAAUGACAACAAAUUAUUAUUGGACUCUGAGAUCUACAAGUUACUAAUUAUGCAAAUAUACCAGGAAUUGCAGACAUAAUACUUUUUAGGUUCUUUGAGGCCUGAAAAUUAUUUCAAGGGUUAGGAAGGUAGUCUAGAAGCUCUCUGGUUCAGUUUUACAAGAGCUGGUGCUCACUGCUUCCACUCACAGGACAGAGGGUAGGUAGUGACUCCAGUAUCCAGAGCUCCUUUUCCAUGGAUGCCCUGCCAGCCCCAUUUCCGGUCUAGGCUCACUUUCUGACUCCUCCACUUUCUAUUUCCUGGGAACCUUCAGGGCUCUAGGCAUGAACUGGCUUGCCUCUCAUUGGCUCCUGUCUCUGCCAAUACACCCUUGAGUGCUCUUCAUUGGUUGCUUUCUCUGUCAAUACCCUUGGCUGCUGCUUAUUGACUACUGACUCUAUCAUUGGCUAAUUUCCCAUAGCUGGGAUGGGUGGGAUCCCUGCAGAAAAUCACCAAAAUGGAUGAUGUUGCAUUUCUCAGUUGCCUCUCACUCGCUCUGAGCCAGGGCUGGCCAUCGUGCUCUCCUCUUCUCUGUCCCUCUUUUCUUAGACUUCACCCUCUCCCAGCUUCCUGGGUCCAUUCCAGCCCCUCAUCCCCACCCCUUCCCCCAACUCACCAGUGCCCUAGUAUUUAUUUAUGGAGUGGCUUAUCUUACUUGAGGAUGAUCCAGGUCCCCUCCCUCUCAGAAGCCUUAUUCAUCACUUCUGCUACAAGUCCUGGGUGGAUUAUACUGUACUAAUAGAUGGCGACUCACACGGACCACACAGUCAUACAGCCCCAGAGCACUUGGGAAUGGAGGUAGGAAUGCCCUGACUCCAGCUGGUGUGGGCCCCUGGUCACCAAUUGCAACAGUUGCCUUCAGGUGACUGUGCUGGUGAUGGCAGGUGAUCUGUUAUUUGCAGUCCCAGCAUACAGAUUGCUUAUGUAAGUUCCCACAUUGGAUGCCAAGUGGAUAUUUCCUGUUUUGCAGAUGAAGAAAUGGAAGCUCAGAAGGGUCAGGUGACUCCUCAGGUCAUAGGUGGUGGAGCAGAGACUGGAAGGGAAGUGUCCAAGGCCAUGCUUUUCCUACUGCCCAUUGCCUGUACUUGGUUUCAAGCAAGAAGAUUUUUUGUCUUCCUAUCCAUUAUAUUUCUAUUUAGAGUUUCUGAACAACUAUUUCUACUUAGAGUUUUCAGAUAUCAUCCUGGGGGUGUCCUAGGAUGUCCAUCCAGUGGCUGGAUCCCUUUACAGACGCAGCCUUAGGGGUGGCUUGGCCACAGCUUUGUGUCUCUCUGCCAAACUCUUCUUGUUAUGCCAGUCCGUGAGGGCUGCCGGCGUGUGUACCAGGCAGGGGCCUCAUUAGCAGCUUUAACUGAUCAGUACAUCCAGUGCCUUCCCUUUGCUGCUCCUGAGACUUCCAGACACGCUGCUGCCUGGUUCUCCGGGAUGCUGGCCAGUGCUGCCCACCACUGUGGAUUCCAGCUCGGCUCCCCUGCGCUGCAUGUGCCCAGAUCACAUGGGCGUGAUUUCUGGCUGGGAGGUCUGUGUUCCUCAGAAGACACAGGUAUCCCUUUUAUCUUAUUUUAUUUUAAUUUAUCUUUAAAUCUCCAAGCCAUGCAAUUCUCGAGUGUUUGUCUCAGUGUGUUCUGUUGUGGAAGGGAAAGGACAGAUGCUACCUGAGCAGAAUUCUCAAGGAAUCACUGUACCAGCCGUUUCACAUACAUUAUCUCUUUUUUUUUUUGGUACUGGGGAUCGAACUCGGGUCCUUGCGCUUGUGCAGCAGGCGGCGAAACCACUGAGCUAAAUCCCCGGCCCACAUACAUUAUCUCUUAAUCACCACAGCAAUCCCAGAGAGAACGAUCCAACAGAAAGCCAUCUAUGCUUCAACAAUAAAUAUCAUUAGAAGCAGAGUAUGUUCCUGAGUAUGUUCCACUGGGGUUAGGUUGCCAAAUGAAAAUGAAGAAGAGACAGUUUCUAUUCUCAUGGAACAUGUAGUUCAAGGAAAUCACAAACAUUAUCAAAUAAUUCUGAGCACCAGGACUAAUAAUUCCAGCUCUAAGGACACGAUCGGUGUCACCACUGCAGCAAGCAUGGGGUGUUACCCUGACCGCCAUGCUCAGGUACUCUGCCAAUGCCACCACUUGGAUUCCUCAGCUCUUCCCCCGAACGUCCUUCAUAACAAUAACAAAAGCCUAUUUCUCUUGAGGCAGCUGAGGUUUAGAGAAUUAAGUAACUAAGUUCCCCUUAGCAGAGAACCAAAGAAGAGAUUCUGUGUCAUACUGCAGGCUCAUAGUGGCUAUGGGCAGGGAGGGAGCAGAUUUCAUGGGUUCAGAGUUCAACUCUGCAGCUCACUGCUUGGUUCAUCCAGAAACAACUUCCUUGUGCCUCAGCUUGCUCCAUCUGUAGAUGGAGAUCACAGUAGUACCUGUCAGGGUUGUUAUUCCCAGGUUGCAGAUGAGAAACACAGCAGAGAGACGAGGUCUCAGGUCGUGGUCAGUGGGAAAGCUGGGGCUCAGGUCAAGUCUGGCCUUGGUAUUCAGCUUUCUAGAAGCUGGGUUAUUUUCCAGGCCAUCUGUACACUGAGGCUGUUCCUUGCUCCUUGGACAAUGGUGUCUGCUAUGGUUCAGCUGUAUUUGCCCUGUUAAAGCUCAGGUUGAAGUGUGGUUAUCAAAAAGGUGGUGGUGGAAGGUGGAGCCUGAAUGGGGACUCGUGUCUUUCUUCGGAGGCUGGAUUGGUCCUCAGAGGAAGGGAUUAGUUCCUGAACAGUGCUUUGUUACAAAGCGUAUGGAGCUGUUUGUCUCCUUCUCUCGCCUUUGUGCACCUGCCGUGUGACGCUGUCCACCACAUUAUGACGCAGAGCGUGAGGCCCUUGCCUGACCUUCAGCUUCCUUGAUUCCAGAACCACCAGAUAAAUAAACUUCUUCCUUUUGUAAGUUACCCAGUGUCUGGUGUUCUGUUACAGCAACAGAACACGAACUAAGAAUGCCAAGCAGAGUAAAAUGUCUCCUGAGAGAUGUCACUGGCCUCUACCAUUUACUAUCUUGCUCUAGACACACUUGUAGAGCAUAUUCUAGAACACUAUUCAUGGGAUUAGUCCAUAAAGAGGAACGUGCUUACAUAUAGGCCAGGUGUGUAAAUAUGUUUGGUUAUUGCUUGUGGUGCUGAGGUUCAACCCAGCCCCUCAUGCAUGCCAAGCACAUGCUCAAGCCACUGCACUCAGCCCCUGUCCCCUGCAGAGGGUAAGUACAGACCAGCCAGUAGUGGUCAGGGAAAAACUGAAGCUCCACAGCCCUUCCCAGCAGAGAAGGGCCUGAGCCCACCUGCAGGUGUGCCUGGGUGUGCAUUGGUUUGGGGUGGGUCAUUUCUUUUGGGGAAGGGGCUUCCCUUUAAGAUGAAAGAGAUCUCUUUCCAGCAGAGAUGAAAAAGAGGAAGGCAGCUCUAUGCAAAUGGUCCAGGGUGAGAAAUGUCAGACUCUGUCGCGGGGUCUGUCUUGUGCAAUGGUGUUUGCAAAUCUCAAGGCCAGACGUUUGUCCCCGUGAGGAUGUCUGCAUUCAGUGACCCUUGUGUUUCUUCUGGGGCAGGUACACGCACACGUGCACACAGGCGCACACACGGUGCUGUGCUGGGCUCCUUGCCAGCAUAUUUCUGCCUCUGCUCCAGGGCCAGCUGAUCACCCCCGUUAACAUCUUCCUGCAGACAGGACAGGCAGCCUCACAGCCGGUCCUUACCUGGGGCAGGUGGCUCCAGAACAGCUCCUCCCCUCUCCACCCUCAGCCACAACCCUACUAGGAUCAAACAUGUUUUCCUCUUACUCAGACGUGCACCUUCUUCCUUGGCCUCUUGCUUUCUCCGGUACAGAUUUAUGAGGAGGAUGCGUGGAAAAGCCCCGCUCCUCAGCUGCUCCUGGCACAAGACAUCUGAUGGUUUGCAUUCCAGCCUGCUCCCCACGCUGUACACCACAGGGUUGUGCACACAUCGACACAUGGACAUCCACCGUUUGUCUCUUUGAACCAAGCCACCACUAAAAGUCUCUCCACACUGACCAUUUCCUUUCACCGCUCAGUAUCGUUCUGCGAUUUUACUUGGGCUUCUUCAAUGAAACUCCACAUUCCCCUGUCUCCUUGCCUUCCCAUCUUCCCCACCAAAUCCAUUCCCACAGUGCUCUCCCUCAAAUACAAAUCUGAUCUUUUAAGUCCCUUUCCAGCUAUUAACGCCCCCCUGCUAUCUCUGCGACUGAGAAUCGGGUCUGGCUCAUGGUGGAUAUUUAGUAGAAAUUUCUGGAAUUAAAUAGCC
rnacentral:lncRNA from 1 species